rnacentral:rRNA from 1 species
UUUUUAAAUUAUUUAUAUAUAUAUUUUUUUUUAUUGUUUUAGUAUAGUAAGAAAUUAUUUUUAUUAAUUCUUUACAGGGUAUUUUUAUAAUUUUAUUAGAUUUUUAUAGUACCUUUUGUAUCAGGGUGAAUUAAUUAAUUUAUUUAUUUAUUAUUCCCGAAAUUAAAAGGUCAAUUAAAAUUUUAUUUUAUUUAUUUUAAAAAGUAGUUAAAAUUUUUUUUUGUAGAGAUAUUCUAUUCGAUUUUAAUUAUAUCUGGUUAUUUAAGAAUAAAUUAAAUUUUUUUUUUAUUAUUUUAAUAAAUAAUUAAUAAGGGAUAAUCUUUAUUAAUUUAUAAAAUUUUUAUUUAAGAUACUUUUAAUAUUUUUUAUAUUUUAUAUUUAGUUAUUAACAUAUUAUAGUAUUWUGAUUUUGAUUUUUUUUAAUUUAUUUUUUUAUUAAGUUUAUUUAUAAAAUUUAUUUAUAAUUUUAAUUUUGGUUUAAUUAGUAAAAAAUUUUAAUUUAAAAUUUAAUGAAUUCAACAAAUAUAAUUUUCAACUGUUUAUCAAAAACAUUUUUUUUAGUUUUUAUUAAAGGUAAAUUCUGCCCCAUGAAGAUUUAAAUGGCUGCAGUAUUUUAACUGUACAAAGGUAGCAUAAUAAUUAGUUUUUUAAUUGAGGACUGGAAUGAAAGAAUUAAUGAGAAAUUAAUUUUAUUAAUUUUAAUUUUUAAAUUUUAUUUCUAGGUAAAAAAUCUUAGUUGAUUUUUUGGGACGAAAAGACCCUAUAGAACUUUAUUUAAUAUUUUUAAAUUAAGUUUUAAUAUUUUAUUUAUUUUUUAAAUUAAAUUUUGUUGGGGUGAUGGAUAAAUUAAACUUUAUUUUACUUUUACAUUAAUAUAUGUUUAUUUUGACUUUCACAUUUUGUAUCAAAAGAAAAAGUUACCUUAGGGAUAACAGCGUAAUUUUUAUGGGGAGUUCAUAUCUAUAUAAAAGUUUGCGACCUCGAUGUUGAAUUAAGAUAAAUAAAAGAAGAAGUAUUUUUUAUAUUAAGUCUGUUCGACUUUUAAAUUCUUACAUGAUUUGAGUUCAAACCGGUGUAAGCCAGGUUGGUUUCUAUCUUGAAAUUAUUACUUAAUUUAGUACGAAAGGACCAAUUAGUUUAUUAUUAAUAUAAAAUUUUAUUA